GGAUCUGCGGCGUGACUCUUCAAGACUGAGACUCAAGUCAUAGGGAAACGAUUGGCUGGGGCCUCAUGCCUUGCUAGAGUUUUGAACCGUCGCCUCGUUUUCGGAGGGUUCUCCGCACGGCGGAGCGAUGCCGUCUACGGCAACCCUUUCUCGGCACAGGCUGAGUGUGAGAGAGGGUUUCUUUUGGCUCGGUGCAUUUGUGCGCUGGGCAAUUCGGUUUUGUGUGUGGGCGUUCUCAAAGAGGGUUGAUGUCAAUUUUGGGAUAUUGGUCUUCGGUAGGACGGUUGAAUGAUCUGAGGCAGAGGCGAUUGGGAUCUAAGGCGAGUUUGAGGAUUUUGAAGGAGGAAAUUGUGAGUUUGUGUUAGCGAUGAACGACAAAGGUGGUAGCAAAUGCGCGUCGAUGUCAGCGGCAAAUGCGCGUCGAUUUCCCUGCCUAAUCACCUGCCCGCCACUUUCAUUCCUUCCACUCCCUCUUCUAGAAUGUCCUAAGUAAGAGACAAAGGGCGUAUAGGUAUUUGAUUCGAUCACAACAGAAGGCAGCACGAAGAAGAUGAAGGGGAUAGUGCGCGUCUAUUUGAAGUGCCAUCUGUGACCCAGUUCAUGUUGUUCUUGGUUGGCGGCGAGGGUCAUCAAGGAGGCGGAGGACAAAUGAGAAUGAGAUCGACAUCCACUCUGACCCCUUCAGGAUUUCUCCCAUAAAUUAAGCUUUGGAAGAAGAAUUUGCGAUGGGGGAGAGGAUUUGGGAGGAGUGAAGAAUGUGCUCCUUGUGACAUUGUUGGUGAUAUUAGCUAUGAAGAAUUUCUGGCAGCUGCAUAUGAGGAUGCUAAGCAUGGGAUGACCUUAUAAUCAAUUCUAAGUUGACAGUCAAGUUAAUGUAACAGCUUGCCUCUUU